GUCGUUGCGAUUGCGAAGGGAUAGCGUAUAGAAAGAUUGGCAAAACUACAAGAAUAGCCAAUAAAAGACUUUUGUUUACCCGUGAUGAUCGAUGAGCGGGAGGAUAUAAAAUGGCGGCCGAACGCGGUUCUCUAUAUAUCUAGGGACUCUGAAAACUAAUUUGAUAAAAGUGCCGACUACUUACCAACUAAAACUUUUAAUUUUAGGGACCAAUACCCCCAGUUUCGCCUUCGACCAUAGACGACCAGGACGACCAAUAAUACAGAAAUAAAAUAACACUACUAAUCACUGCCAUUAAUAAAAUAAUGUGAGUCGAUUAACUUUAACGGUUUCGGCCAAUAAUCCAAGGCAUUUUAUUUUUAGUGACGACGAGUUUGGUAAUUCGAUCGACUGGUUGUCCAGGUGGAAAAAUUAGUUUUAAGAAAAUCUUACCAAGAAUUUGAUACGGUUAAAAGUAAUAUUACAAAUUAGCAGCAUUUCUAGAUGUAAUGGAGAGGAGACAACUGGCGGAAUUAGUGCCAUUAUGGAAGUUUUGGUGGUGGAAAAAUUCGAGGUCUACCAGAAAUAGUAGCUUUUCUAAUGUGGUAAACAUUUGCAGUUUUUGUGCCGUACCAACUGCGGUUACGCCCGGAUUAAAUGGAUGGUGUACUAACAGAGAUUUUACAGAGUUAAUUGUUUUGUUGUAUAAAUUAGUGCCAAACUGUUUUUAAACAAAUGUCGGAUAACAGGUUAAAAAAUGUUUGCUACGACAUAUCACCAUAUUCGAUUCGCCUCUUACAUCUUUAAGAAAAAAUUAUGGUCGUUUUCUAGAUUUAUUUUCUAUGUACAUUUUUACCGAGCAGGAUGUAAAUAUUUCUAGUCUGUCUUCGGAGCUACUGUCCGAUUCGUUUUUUAAACCAGCUGGUAGUAGAAGAUCUACGUUUUCC
rnacentral:lncRNA from 1 species